rnacentral:lncRNA from 1 species
CCGUGCACUGCUCCACAGCCUCAUGCCGUAGACAAACGUGGCUCUCGCAAUAAUAAAUAAGAAAUUGCAAUUAGCUAUUGAAAUACAAAACAUAUCCUUAAGAGUACAAUCAUAAAAUCGAAUCAAGUCCGAAAAGCAUAAGACGCCCCUAUUCACAUUGCUUCUAAAGCUAUGCAAGUUCGAAGAAGAGAUAUAUCAUUCUUAGACAAAUCGGCUGUCGCCCACUCAUAGGCGGAUAAACCAGGCAACUAAAGCACCAGCAGUAUACAGAGACAAACACGAAUAAUAAAUCAGAGGCUAUGCAUAAAUGACAUUAAGCUUAGAGAAAUUAUUUCUUUGACAUCUGCUCACAGGUCAUCAGGAACAUGAGAAUUAGCAUCUCAUCUUUGGAAAGAUACAAUCAUCGUCUGAUUGCACUCAUGGAUGAAAUUAGUCUGGUAAGCUGGACCAUUUAAUCGGUUCAAAGUAUUCUAAGUGAAUCACACUUUCAAAUAAAAGUUAACAAAGCUUUUUU